rnacentral:rRNA from 1 species
CCCUUAGAUGUCCUGGGCCGCACGCGCGUUACACUGAUGCAUUCAACGAGCUUAUAACCUUGGCCGAGAGGCCUGGGCAAUCUUGUUAACGUGCAUCGUGAUAGGGAUAGAUUAUUGAAAUUAUUAAUCUUGAACGAGGAAUUCCUAGUAAACGCAGAUCAUCAAUCUGCAUUGAUUACGUCCCUGCCCUUUGUACACACCGCCCGUCGCUCCUACCGAUUGAGUGUUCCGGUGAAUAAUUCGGACUGCAGCAGCGUGGGGACUCCUCAUGCUGCAGCGGAAAGUUUGGUGAACCUUAACACUUAGAGGAAGGAGAAGUCGUAACA